rnacentral:rRNA from 1 species
UACGGGGGGGGCAAGCGUUGUUCGGAAUUACUGGGCGUAAAGGGUUUGUAGGUGGCUCGCUAAGUCAGACGUGAAAUCCCUCAGCUUAACUGGGGAACUGCGUCUGAGACUGGCAAGCUUGAGUGCAGGAGAGGAACGCGGAAUUCCAGGUGUAGCGGUGAAAUGCGUAGAUAUCUGGAGGAACACCGGUGGCGAAGGCGGCGUUCUGGACUGUAACUGACACUGAUGAACGAAAGCCAGGGGAGCAAACGGG